GUGUGGACUCUGGGUGGGGGCGUUUGUCCUGAGAUUUCAGCCUGAGUGAGUGACUGUUCUGAGGACAGCAGAGAUGACCUGGACCUGCAGCUCAUGGGCUCCUGUGCUGGGCAGGGAGCCCUGGGGCCACCAUGGGAGUGUGUACUGCCAAAACCUCCUUCCUUCCUCUGGGAGGCCGGGCAUGGCGGGAGUGCCCACCGUGCCCGUGACACCUGUGUGAGGGCCUGUGCCCAGCUGUUGUGGGCGGGGAGGUGACAGAGUGUCAGCCUGGGUGGGAGGGGAUAGGGGUUCAGCCCAGGUGGGAGGGGACAUGGGGGUGUUGUGCCCAAGAUUGUGAAUCUGAGAAACCACUAUGGAGCUGACACUGAUGCAAACCCACGAGGGUUGAUUUCCAAACUCGAGUUUGCAUCCAAGUUCACCCGACACAGAGGAGCAGGGACUUGGACCUCGUGGUGGGUUUUUGCUUAGUUUUUAGGACUUGUCUCAGGAACCUCCAGAAGGGCUGGAGCAAUUCCUCAAGUUCUGUUUACAUUUUGAUAUGGGGCCUUCAAGGGCAUUGAGCUCUGCUCUCAUUCUAAUAGGGGCUUCCUGCCCUUGGCCUGGGCUCUGUUUUGAUUCUAUUGUGGGGCUUUCUAGGACAUUAAGCUGCAAACUUUUGUUUUUUUCCUGUAACUGAAGUAAUGUAUUUUUACCUCUUCUUCACAGGGGCCUGGGAUGGAUGGACCUGUUCGAACCCUGAACUUAAAGAGGAAAGACCUUCAUUUUCUUGGCCUCCUUGCAUCACCUCCCAUCAUAUCUAGCUCUUUCCCCCUUCCCCGGAGCUCCUGAGAGAGCAAUUGCAAAAGACCUCAGCUUGGCAGGGUCUGUAGGGGGACAGGCCCAGGGAUUUGGGAUCAGGAAGACCUGAGGCACGGGCUUCUCAGCUGUGCAGCGGGAUUCCAUGCUGCAGACUCUUAUUCCCUAAGGCUAUCUUGACAACUGACUUUAUACAUAGAAAAGCUCUCCUUUAUCUUUAAAAGAUGAAGAGCCAGUCAAAGCCUUUUUUCUCUGCCCAUCUGAUUGCUCAGAUUCCAAUGUGAGACGUAUUUCCUGUUAAUAAGGAUAAUUUACUAUCCGUAGUACUAUGGUUAAAAUAUUCUGACACAAGUAAUUCAGAGGGAUGAGGGUUUCUCAUCUCUUUCUUCACAGCUCAGUCACUCCUCAGGAAAUGGAUCGUUAUGGAUUUGGAAAUAACUGAGAGACAUUAUUACCAACGGUCCUAUUAUUAUGUGAAGGAUCCUUCCCUGAGAUUCUUCCCCUGUUUCAACUGACACUGAAACACUUUGAACUCUUUGGAAGACAAAUGUCAAGGAAAUAAAUGUUAUGCACUGCUAAUUUUAAAUGCACUUGCAAUAUGGUGUCUAUUAUAAUAGAAGUAUUUUUAUCUGAUUUUUGCUAUUUAUUAAUCGUUCCUGCUUUUCAGGUUGAGGAGGCAUUAUACGUGUUCAUAAGUGUUUUUCUUUCUUUCUGAUAUAAAAUUCUUACUUUGUUUCCAUCAAAGGAACUCUUUAAGAAUAAGGCAACAGUUAAUUCAACUAUUCUUAAAAUGUCUUCACACUUGGAGCCUGAUUCAUUUAAGUCAAUUUUCAAAAUAAAUCUUAUUUCUUAGGAAAAAAACAAAGAUUUAUAGGGAAUUUGAGAAGAUAGUACAGAGCAUUUGCAUGCACUUGCACUCAGUUUCUCCAAUGAUUGAUAUCUAAUAUCAGUACGGUACAAAUAUUAGCUAAUAAAUGAAUAUUAAAAUAUUCGCAUUAACCAAAGAUGAAACUUUAUUCAGAUUUCCUUAGUUUUUGCUAAGUUACCACCCCUCAUAUGACAUUCCAUUUGUCCUCCUGUUUUCUUAGGCUCCUCUGGAUUGUGACAGUCUUUCAGCCUUUCCUUGUUGUUGCACUGGAACACUUUGAGAAGUAGAGUAUUUUGUAAAUUUCCCUCAGUUGAGACAUGUCUGUUGUUUAUCUCAUGAUUGAACUGUUUUUGUGGAUUCUAUACAGAGAUAUACUGCCAUUUUUAUUAUAUCAUAUAAAGGAUAGAUACUAUCAACAUGAUUUAUCCGUCUUGGUAUCGAUCUGAUCAUCUUGCUGAGGUAGUGUUUGUCAUCUUUCUCCGUAGUUAAGUGAUUCUUCUUCUUUCUUCUUCUUCUUCUUCUUCUUCUUCUUCUUCUUCUUCUUCUUCUUCUUCUUCCUAUUAUUAUUAUUAAUAUCACUAUAUUAUCAUUAUUAUUUUAAGUUUUUCAUAAUAUAUUUUGUAGAGGGAAGUUACUAUGUGUAUUCCACGCGUAAGAGUGGGAAGCUAUGCUCACCAACUUGACGGUGGAAAGUCUGCACAA
rnacentral:lncRNA from 1 species